rnacentral:rRNA from 1 species
UGAAGAAAAAGCAUCGGCUAACUCCGUGCCAGCAGCCGCGGUAAUACGGAGGAUGCAAGCGUUAUCCGGAAUCAUUGGGCGUAAAGGGUCCGCAGGUGGCGAAUAAAGUCUGCUGUUAAAGACCGGGGCUUAACUCCGGAAAGGCAGUGGAAACUGAUUAGCUAGAGUACGGUAGGGGUAGAGGGAAUUCCCAGUGUAGCGGUGAAAUGCGUAGAUAUUGGGAAGAACACCGGUGGCGAAAGCGCUCUACUAGGCCGAAACUGACACUGAGGGACGAAAGCUAGGGUAGCGAAAGGGAUUAGAUACCCCUGUAGUCUUAGCGGUAAACGAUGGAUACUAGGUGUAGCUUGUAUCGACCCAAGCUGUGCCGAAGCUAACGCGAUAAGUAUCCCGCCUGGGGAGUACGCACGCAAGUGUGAAACUCAAAGGAAUUGACGGGGGCCCGCACAAGCGGUGGAGUAUGUGGUUUAAUUCGAUGCAACGCGAAGAACCUUACCAGGGCUUGACAUGUCGCGAAUCUAGCGGAAACGUUAGAGUGCCUUAGGGAAUGCGAACACAGGUGGUGCAUGGCUGUCGUCAGCUCGUGUCGUGAGAUGUUGGGUUAAGUCCCGCAACGAGCGCAACCCUCGUCCUUAGUUGCCAAUAUUAAGUUAGGCACUCUAGGGAGACUGCCGGGGACAACUCGGAGGAAGGUGGGGAUGACGUCAAGUCAGCAUGCCCCUUACGUCCUGGGCGACACACGUACUACAAUGGUUGGGACAAAGGGCAGCAAGCUCGCGAGAGUAAGCGAAUCUCAUCAAACCCAGCCACAGUUCAGAUUGCAGGCUGCAACUCGCCUGCAUGAAGUAGGAAUCGCUAGUAAUCGCAGGUCAGCAUACUGCGGUGAAUUCGUUCCCGGGCCUUGUACACACCGCCCGUCACACCAUGGAAGCUGGCUACGCCCGAAGUCGUUACCCUAACCCGGUUUUGGGAGGGGGAUGCCGAAGGUAGAGCUAGUGACUGGGGUGAAGUCGUAACAAGGUAGCCGUACCGGAAGGUGUGGCUGGAUCACCUCCUUU